CCUCCCGCCCCCGCGGCGCCGCACGGCGCUGCUCCCCCUCCCCUUUGCUCCGCUCCCCUCCCGAGUGGCGGGGUGGGGGCUGCGAAGUUUGCGCACAGGCGCACGUGGUCGGGGAGAGGAGGAGAUCCCCGGGAAGCCCUGGCGACCCUGCCGCGGGGUCGGGUCACACCGUCGCUGCUCCCCUGGGACCCCCGUUUCUCUCCGGCAGGAGGCUGGGCGCCAGGCGGGGCGGGGGUCGCUGGGCACGGUUGAGCAGCUUCCCCGGGGAAAUGGGUCUUGCUCGGCGGUGGCUGUAGCGGGGGCAGGGGCAGGAGCAGGAGAGACGCGGUGGCGCCGCCGGCAGCCAAAAGCUGGACUGUGUCUCCCUCCAGAGGGAGAAGGGAGUCACGCACGGCAGCUCCGGCGGCGGGAAAGCCGCGGCGUGGGCCGAGCUCUUCUCCAGGUGGUGCCCGAGAGGUGAGGUUGCGGGCUUGGGCCGUGCAGCUGCGCUUGGGGGGUGGCAAGGGAACGUAGCACGGGUCAGAUCCUGGAGACUUCUUCUUCCUCUCCUUAACGACGGGCAGUGGGUCGCUGUCGUCUGCCACGACUAUUGAUUAACAGAGGGAAAUUGUGUGUGCGGAUAAGUGAAAGCAUAGCUUGCUCGUUUAUUUCAGUGUUUCGUGUUGUUCAAAAGGGGAUGCAGAGAAGUGGAGGGGAGGUAGCCAAAGGAGGUGAGAAAAGCCAGAGCACCUGUUCAUUACAGUAAUAUCAAAUAGAGGGUCAAAUUCUCAGUUUUCUCUGGGAAUUCUUGUUCACUCCUAGGCUAAAUGGGGAUGAGUGCACACAGCAUUAAGUACUGGUAUACUUAAUAAUCUGUUGUCUGGGUUUCAAUUUGUACCAGCUAGUAUACUAGCAAGUUUCCUGCAAAGAAGCUCUUCUUUAGCCCUAAACUGCUAUCACAUCUUAUGUGAUGUUGAUGGCGAACCCUGUGAGAAACAGAAGAGGAAAGUGAAACACUUCCUCAUUUGUUAUUCCUUGUUAGAGAUUUUCUGUGUAAGGAUUUGUAGGAUGUUUUAAUUAUUUUUUUUAAAGCACAUACAGACCUGAAAGUCCACACAAUCAAAAAAGAAAAGGCAAGAUGAAGGUUUAGUGUUGACCACCCCGCACACAGUGAUGCAGCUGUAGGAUGAAAUACAAAGUGGCUGAUAAAGAAAGGACAAGUUAAAAGUAGCCUGGUAUGUGGUUGUCACAAUUGCUGUUGCAGCGAGCUCUGCAGUACACAUCUAUGCCUGGAUGUUGACUGCAGCCAAAUUAAAAGGCUGCUGGUUGUAAAGACAAAUGUGGUCUUAUUCAUAGGAAGCUGAUACAAUAACAUCAUGAUUUCCCUAGUUGGUAACUGUGUUUCUACAUUUGCAGGCAGCUAAAAACAAUGCAGAGGCAACGGAAACAACUAAGAUCAUGCUGCUAUCAGCAGCGUAAUUUCAGUACACUGAGGUAGAUCGAAACUAAUGUGGAUCCACAGGGGCUGGAUGCUUCUGCCCCAGCAAUACAAAAUGGCCAGGGAUCCUGAAUAUAUACUGGAACAGGUAACAUUUCCUGUUGUGUGGGUCAGUGUAGGACUAUCAUUACUGGAUUAAAAGCAGUAAAAGUACAGCAAAAAUGCAACUACAGCAGCUGUUGCACUUUAGAAGUAGCAAACACCUUGUAAUUACAGGAGCACAUAUACCUGUAUUAGCUGCAUGUAUCAUUACACUCAAGUUGACUGUGUAUUGUAAGACCAGAGGAUGCUGAGUAGUUUCCUAUUGGUGUCCUGCUGUUACAGAAAUCAGGCAAACACAUCUGAAGACACAGAGCUAUUAUCACCCAGUUAAAACAAUACAAACAAGUCUCAGGCAAAUAACACAAUAAAAAGCAGUAUACAAAGCAACAGAGAAGCUGAGCUGUUUUGAAAGCCAGGAAUAUUGUCUGUGCACAUCUUGGGAAAUGCGAUCAUCAUUUAUGGCGUGAUGCUGCUGCACAUGAGCAGUUGUUCUAGAUCACUGUGUCUGACAUCUGAAAAUCUGAACAAAUCCACAGUACCCACACACAGUUUGUGUGACACCACACAGAAAGACGUGCUUUCACAGUAUGGCAAACAUUCCUGGGAAGAACUUAAAUGAUCCAUUGCACCUAUAGAGUGCAGCUGGUUUUACAGAUGCUUACUUAGUAAGCCUGACUCAUCUCCAAAGGUGCAGUUGUACAUGCUGCACUGCACGAUACGAUAAAUUUACCAUUUUCUGGAAAUACCAGAUUGGCAGUCUUUGUCCCACACAGCCUGUAUUUAUAUCUUUCUGACUGGAAAAUCCCCAGCUGAAUACUGUGGCCUUAGAACACAAUAUAGUGAUGAAACAAUUAUUAUAUAAAUGUUCUCUUUCUUUCUUCAGCUUGUUUCUUAUUUUGAGUUAGUGUCAGUAUUUCUUACUUUUCAUCAAUUUGCAGGGCUCUUCGACAUACUAAAAGAAAAGCAUAAAACAUGAAAAUGGGUAUUGGCACUCGCAACAAGUAUUGUGUUUGGAAUAACUUCAGCAUUUCCAUUUCAAGGUGAAAAGCACAGCAUAAAAAUCAGGGAAAUAAAAAUUUGUUUCUGAAUAGUUGCAUGUAUGUGGAUCUGGUACGUAUCUUUUUCAAACACAGAUUUUACUCAAACGCAUGCAUGUUCUGAGCUGCUAAACAGAGAAGAAGUAAAUUUGUAUUUGGGUAGCCACAUGUAGAUUUUGUCUCUAAGAACUGAUGAGUUCACUAAUGUCUACCAAAAAUUUUGCUCCUUUAUCUUUCCUAAGAGACCCUCCCUUCCCACCACCCACCAUGCUACUAACUUACGCUAAGUAAAAGUGCCAGUUACAGAACCAUUCUUCAGUUUAGCAGUUAGGUUCUUGGUUUCUCAUUUAGGCUUUCCCUUGCAUCUCCCACCUCUCUUUAUAUUGAGCUUCAGUCACAAAAAUAAGCAGGCAUACAGACCACAGCUCUCAUCAGGAAUACCUCCAUGUAAGGAGACCUAUAGUGGCUUAGACCCUGCAGUGCAGCAUCACCCUGCAAUAUCCCUCUAUUGACAUCCCCUAAAGCUGGGGAAGAGGAAGCAUUAAUUCAAAAAGCCAGCUGCUCUAAAUUAUUUGUGGUUAUCAUCCUGAUACUCUGUGGCCCUGGAGCUGGGACAGUCCAACAGUGCCUAAAAAUCCCCUUUACAAUGUGUAUAUAGAUAUGCACAUUUUUAUUGCAGGUGAGAAUCUGGUCCACCAAAUUUGAAGUUCUGUACAAGCUCGGAUACAGUCCAAACAUUCACAGACAAAAAUAAACAUAAUUGACUCCUGAAAAGCUGAUCGAAAAUGAAAAGGCAAUGGACCAAAGUUAUUCUGGGUUUUUUUAAUAAGUCUCCCACAGGCAUUUAUUAAAAUCAUGCUGGUUAUUGGAUUCUGAAGGAAAUAGGUUUUUUAACCAGCAUACUGGAAUCAUCACUGAUCUUUCAAAGCUUCCACAUAAAAUGGAAAAAGUGACUGCAAAAAAAUAACAGAAGUAAGCAUUCUUACUUUUCUAUAACAUAUAAGUGAUACAGAUAAACACUAUGAUGAUAUUUUUUUACCAUUUAAAACUAUUCUCAUAAGAUAAGAAAUGACACGGAUUGCUUAUGCAUGCUAACAUAAAUGGUGCUCAGAGUAAUGACAUCUUCCAGGAUGAAAAAACCCUAAUGCAUGUACGUAUUCAGUAUAAUUUGGGGAGCAAGACUUUGUCGCUUCCAUUUAGGAGGAGAGAAAGCUGGGGAUCAGAGAAAAAGGUGGGUUGGAAUGGAUCUAUGGAGGUCUGGUUGGACUGAGGAUCCAAACCCCAGCCAUGGUUGGACCGACUUCCAAGUUAGAUCAGGUUGCUGAGGACUGUGUCCUGAGAUUUCAGAUAUCUCCAAGGGCAAAGGUUCCACCUACCAGCCUCUUUGAACCUUUUUCCAGCACUUGACCACCCGAAUCAUGAAGGAUUUUCUUCCUUACAUCCAAACAAAUUUCUCAGAAUCUCUCUUUCUGUCUUGGUGUGCAUUGCCUCUCAUCCAUUUGCUGUGCACUUCCAAGAAGCCACUGGCUCCAUCUUCCCUGUAACCACCCAUGAGUAGUUGAAUACAGCAGUUAGAUCCCCCUUUCCCUCCCUUGAAGGGGCUGAACAAACACAGCUUUAAUUUUUUUGGUAUUUUGUGCCUUCACCACUGCUAGGACACACAGCUGACUCAUGUUCAACUUGUCCACCAGCAUCUACAGACAUUUUUCUGCAAACAUGCAGUGCCAAGUCUAUACUCUUGCACAGGGUCAUUCUGUCCCAGGUGCUGGACUUGUAUUUGUCUUUGUUGAACUUCAGGAAAUUUCUGUCAGUUCACUUCUCUGGCCUGUUCUGAUCCUUAUGAGUGGCAGCUCUGCCCUCAAGUCUAUUGACUGUUCCCCAUAUUUUGGUGUUAACUGCCUGGAGUGCUUGCUACUGUCAUCCAGAUUAUUCGUGAAUACUGUAAGCAGCAUGGGCUCCAGAACCCAACACUGAGGAAUGCCACUAGUGACCAGCCACUGAUCUUGAAGCCUGUCAGUGCAACGAGUUUGCAUCCAUUUUAUAAACCACCCAUCCAGUCCAUAUCUGCCCAGCUGGGCUACAAGGAUGUGAUGGUAGACCAGUUCAAAAGACUAACUAGAAUAAAGACAAACAAUACCCUCUCUCCUUCCUGACACAGCCAGUCAUUGUAGCCAUUGUAGAAGACAGUCAGGUUGAUCAGGCAAAAUCUGACUUGGAUGAAUCCAUGUUGACUAUUCCAAAUUUCCUUCUUGUCCUUCAUGUGUGGGGAAAUGGCUUCCAGGAGAAUUUUCUCCACAAUCUUCCUGCAGACUGGCCUGUAGUUCCCCAUAUCUCUCUUCCUGCCUUCUUGAAAAUGGGUAUAUUUACCAUUUUCCAAUUAUUCAGUACUUUCUCCUGUCACCAUGAAUGCCUGGAGGUGAUUAAGUGCAGUCUCACAGUGCUAUCAGCCCACUCCAUCAGUGCACGUGGAUGCACCUGGUAUGUCCAUUUUGCUUAAGUCGUCCCUAUUGAUCUCCUAUCAGGGCUGGUACUUGACUCUCCCAAACUCCUCCACAAAAGCAAAGUUAAACAAAGAUGAAGAAAUCCUGUGAUGAAUGCUGUUUGUCUGACCUACCCCAUAAAAUAUCAUACAAACUAAUCUUUCUACUUAUGCUAUUUCAUCAAAAAGAGCGAAAUCCCCCAGGCUGCGAGAACUGUAGCUAUUUUGACAUAUAAAGAUGCUUCUUCCUAAUACUUCAUGAAGCACCUAAGCUCCCUAAAGCGGAAAGAUUUAAAAACCUGCACUCCUCAUUUCUCAUUUGCUACCUCUUGACAAGUCACUACUGAGCUUUUUAGGUCUUUUAUAUAUCAUCAUAAGGCACCUUACUUUCUCUGUGCAUUAGAGACCCUAAGCUGCCAGGCAUAGCUUCUGCGUCUUGCUCCGGGUGAAGCACAUACCAAAAGUUAGGUGUUGCAAUAUUUCGUCCUGUGGCUCUUAAAUUUCUUUUUGAAUCAAUGCUGUAAUCCAUGUGAAAAGCAGAAAAAAACACGAGAAAAAUUCAGAUCAAAAGUAGAACAAUACUUGGCCUCCAUACCUUUUCGAAAUAAAUCUCAAAUUUUCUUUUUAACAAGAUUGUUAUGUUAUACAUUUAAAAUUAACAGGUCAGUGCUUUAUUACAGUAAAAGGAAGAGUCCAUGGGCCAAACAUUUUGAGGUGACUACAGGGUUCUGUUGCACAACUAAGGUGUAAACUACAAGAAUAUUAAGUAUCAUAAUGGUUUCUUACAGGAGGUACAGUAAGUACUAUUCAUGAGCUUGAGAGACCCCCAAACCAUAUCCAGCAAAAAACAGUAGACAUUUUUUCUUAAAAAACAAAAACAACCCUCCCCUCCCUCCCAAAAAAAAAAGAAAAAAGCACCAAAAAACCCACAAAAACUCUCUUCUCUACUCCGCCCUGGUGAGACCCCAUCUAGAAUAUUGUGUCCAGUUCUGGGCCCCUCAGCUCAAGAAGGACAGGGAACUGCUGGAGAGAGUCCAGAGCAGGGCAACAAAGAUGAUUAAGGGAGUGGAGCACCUCCCUUAUGAAGAAAGGCUGAGGGAGCUGGGGCUCUUUAGCUUGGAGGAGACUGAGGGGUGACCUUAUUAAUGUUUAUAAAUAUAUAAGGGGUGAGUGCCACAAGGAUGGAGCCAGGCUCUUCUCGGUGGCAAACAAUGAUAGGACAAGGGGUAAUGGGAUCAAGCUGGAACAUAAGAGGUUCCACUUAAAUUUGAGAAAAAACUUCUUCUCAGCGAGGGUGACAGAGCACCGGAACAGGCUGCCCAGGGAGGUUGUGGAGUCUCCUUCCCUGGAGACAUUCAAAACCCGCCUGGACAUGUUCCUGUGCGACCUCACCUAGGUGUUCCUGCUCCAGCAGGGGGAUUGGACUAGAUGAUCUUCUGAGGUCCCUUCCAAUCCCAAACAUACUGUGAUACUGUGAAAAACCUUAUGCCUCUGCCUGCAUCUGUGGCACUCAGGGCAGGAAAGAAUCACUAAAUCAGCAGGAAAACAAAACAAAACAAAACAAAACAAAAACAGAGCCAGGAGAAAAAGUAUUCACACACAUCUGGCCUAAAUUUGGGUUAUGAUAUCAUAGAACUCAUUCAUGCAUGCAUUUCUCUUAAUCUGAUACAAACUGCUAGUUCCUGUUUUCCUGUAUAUCAAGCAGCAUCAGCUUUUGCAGUCAUGCUACAAAGAACUCCAAAAUGAAUACGUUUUAUCCUCAAUUAAGUGUAUGUAAAUUUUGUUUCAUGUUUACAUUAAAGGUUGCAUUACAGACAAAAUGGGAAAAAAAGCAGACCUCCUUACGUAAUGAGAUUUUAAUCUAAUUUUAAAAUAAAUAUAAUUAUUUCUAAAAUUAUGUCUUAAAUUAUUUUCAUGAAUUAAUUAUGUUUAUAUAAUUAAAUUAUAUUACAGAAAAGGAGAUCUUGUGAAAACAGGAGGCUAGGCAGACCAAGAGUAGUAAAGGUAAAUGGGUGGCAAGGACGGCUUUCAUCCUAGUGUCCAGCAACAUCCACCUUUCUUACAAGCACAGGAGAGGCCGAACUCCACUCACUCAUCAGCUGAUCAAACCCUGUUCAGCACCAUCACUGACUGCUCCGCGUCACAGUGGCCUGGAAGUGGAAAUCGCUUUCCCGCAUACUAUUACAAGAGGCACUUUGAUCCCACUGCAGAAAGUAAAACAGACUUUUUGUUGAACAGGUUCCAGGAUGACUGGAUCUUGUGUACCACAACUUAAUGUGAAUUGUUUCUUCUCACCGAUUCCUGUACGCACCCAGCAAGGCACAACACUGACAUUUACAAACACGACUGUACUUUUUCACUUAUUCUGCUAAAAAAAAUCUCAAUCACCAAAAGCUCCUGCAGCUUUUUCUGUACUGUUAGAGCAGCAGCUCAAGACUUUUACAACUCAUAAAACUUUUCUGUGCCUGAGAUGUUUCAGUCAAAAUAUAUAUUCUUCCUUUUACAGAUCAACUGACAGUAACCUCUGAAAGAUUUUUGCUUGGUCAAGAUGGUGUUCACGCAUUUUUCAGGUUUGAAUAAGUUUUACCAGAUUCCACAAUAACAUCAAUGGUUUACUCUAAGGGAUGUUUAUAAUAGGAAAGCAGAAACCACAUACAUAAAAAUGUACAGUAUUAAAAUAUGUCUUUAUGUAAUUUUACACACCAUGUAUAAACAAUAUACCUUAAAAUAUUUCCUUAAUGGUUCUUAUCCAUAUAUGUACGUUUAUACACGUCAAAUAUGAAGUUGUUCUAGUACAUCCUGUAUCAGUAUAUUGUUGAGUGUUCUGUGGAUUUCAGUGAUACUUAAUGAAAUGAAUGCAAAUUCAUUCAUACUUUAGAUAGCCAAACAGUAAGAAUAUGCUGACAUGAGUGUACUUACGCCAACAACAUUGAUUUCUGCAACUUGUCUGUUGUCUGUAUCAGAUCUUGCUAUAAAUCUCACUAUUAUCUCCUUCCACGUAAGUGCCAACUCUUUUUAUUGAACAGCAACCAAUUAUUAGCACACAAAGUGCAAACCUUACCAAACCUAACUUGCACAUUAUGUUUAGAUUUCAUACAUCUUCAGCUGCCAGUGCUUAAACCCUACAUUAUGAAUCAUCCUUUUAAAACUCGUGUCUCUAGAAUUAUAUUAGCUGACAUGUUUUGUGCAUAGCUAAUAUAUUUAAUUUUAGCUCUUGCCUUCAAAACCGCACAGUUCAUUUAGCAAGCAUACAGGAGAACACCUGGAUCCAUUCUGAUGUGUAAAUCAAACAUAGAAACUGAUAACAGUUUUGACAUAUCUGCCAACCGUGGCUAAAACCUGUUGCCAUCAUACCUUUUAAAUUACAUUCUGCAUUUAAAAUUCUUGAAAGAAAAACAUUUUUGAAAGAGAUAUACAAAGGUCAAUAAAUUUGUAAUAAUUUUAAAAUAGAUUUAGUUGUGUAGAUAAAAGCAUUGAGUUAAAGACAUGGGAAGUAAUUUUAUCUUGUUGAAAAUGGGUAAUUAUUGCUUAAAUUAAUAUAUUAUUAAAAUCAGAUAAUAGAAAAAACUUAUUUUUCAAAUGUGUUUUUUUCAAGUCCUAGAUUAUUAGAAGUUUUCAGUGUAUGUUAAAUAGUUAAUCAAUAAAAGUAAAAUUUAUUAACAUUU